GACGAACGCUGGCGGCGUGCUUAACACAUGCAAGUCGAACGGAAAGGCCCUGCUUUUGUGGGGUGCUCGAGUGGCGAACGCGUGAGUAACACGUGAGUAACCUGCCCUUGACUUUGGGAUAACUUCAGGAAACUGGGGCUAAUACCGGAUAGGAGCUCCUGCUGCAUGGUGGGGGUUGGAAAGUUUCGGCGGUUGGGGAUGGACUCGCGGCUUAUCAGCUUGUUGGUGGGGUAGUGGCUUACCAAGGCUUUGACGGGUAGCCGGCCUGAGAGGGUGACCGGCCACAUUGGGACUGAGAUACGGCCCAGACUCCUACGGGAGGCAGCAGUGGGGAAUAGUGCACAAUGGGCGGAAGCCUGAUGCAGCAACGCCGCGUGCGGGAUGACGGCCUUCGGGUUGUAAACCGCUUUCGCCUGUGACGAAGCGUGAGUGACGGUAAUGGGUAAAGAAGCACCGGCUAACUACGUG
rnacentral:rRNA from 1 species